rnacentral:rRNA from 1 species
GUCGCUGUUGGGAUACCACCCCUGUAGUACUGGGUUUCUAACCAGUUGCCAUAAACUGGCAAUGGGACAAUGUCAGGCGGGGAGUUUGACUGGGGCGGUCGCCUCCGAAAGGGUAUCGGAGGCGCUCAAAGGUUCCCUCAGAAUGGUUGGAAACCAUUUGAAGAGUGCAAAGGCAGAAGGGAGCUUGACUGCGACACCGACGGGUGGAGCAGGUACGAAAGUAGGACUUAGUGAUCCGGUGGUAUAAAGUGGGAUUGCCAUCGCUCAACGGAUAAAAGCUACCCUGGGGAUAACAGGCUUAUCACUCCCAAGAGUUCACAUCGACGGAGUGGUUUGGCACCUCGAUGUCGGCUCAUCGCAUCCUGGGGCUGUAGCAGGUCCCAAGGGUUGGGCUGUUCGCCCAUUAAAGCGGUACGCGAGCUGGGUUCAGAACGUCGUGAGACAGUUCGGUCCCUAUCCGGCGCGGGCGGAGGAUAUUUGAGAGGAGCUGUCCUUAGUACGAGAGGACCGGGAUGGACGGACCACUGGUGUAUCUGUUGUCGACCAACGGCAUGGCAGAGUAGCCAAGUCUGGAAGGGAUAAACGCUGAAGGCAUCUAAGCGUGAAGCCCCCCUCAAGAUGAGAUAUCCCUCCUUCGGGAGUAAGACCCCUUGAAGACUACAAGGUAGAUAGGGCAGAGGUGGAAGCAUGGCAACAUGUGGAGCUGACUGUUACUAAUAGGUCGAGGGCUUAAUCUG